rnacentral:piRNA from 1 species
GGUCUGUGCAUAAGGAAAGUUGCCUGUCA